rnacentral:rRNA from 1 species
AUGAUCCGAGUUGUUGUUACCUUCUGGGCGAUAUGGUUGGCGCAGAGGAAAUUGAUCCAUGAAGGAGAGCACCAAAGCCCUUUGGCGACCUUUUCUUUCAUCAAUAGGUAUCUCUCUGAUCUAGCUUUGGCUCAACCAUCACAGGUGUUAUCACAUGCUCGCCAGCCGCAGGAACAGGCAAGGAAAUGGAUCCUGCCCCCGCAUGGAUAUGUGAAGAUUAAUGUGGAUGGUGUAGUGUGUAGAAGCCCACCUAUUGGUGCAGUCAGCGCUGUAUGCCGGGAUGGACAAUGUGUGUACAUGGGUUCUUCGGCUGUGGUUUUUCACGGGCUGACCGACCCACACAUUUUGGAAACUUUGGCGUGUCGUGAGGCGCUAUCAUUAGGGAGGGACUUGCUACUCCAAAACAUCACAGCGGCCUCGGACUGUCUCUCCGCCAUCAAUGACAUCAACUCAGGAACUCAUGGUAUCACUGGCCCAAUCGUCAGAGAAAUAAAGGACGGUUGUGGUGAUUUUCAGGCUAUCUCUUUUGCUCAUGAAGAACGUCACUUCAAUACGGAGGCGCAUAGUUUAGAUAGACAUGCUUUGCAUUUGGGUGAAGGGCGCCAUGUUUGGCUUCUACAACCCUUUGAUACUCUAUUUAUUCCUGUAAACCGUUCCAUUGAUCAAUAA